GUAAAAAGAAAAAAAAAAGAACUCCACACUUCUGGACACUAUUAAAAUCAACAAACUUUCAUCUAAGAUACUUCAAGAUGACGACAAUGACACAGAGCAAUGACUUGAAAUACCAACUAAUACCUCAUAUCACAAGAGGUCAAACUAAUUGGACAGCCAAGUAAUUGUAGUUGAAAAAACUCCUCCACGCCAAUUCAGAAACUCUAUCAAAUAUCAGAAUUUGCUUCUAAUUGAUCCACAGGGAAACCAUAUCGAAGCAACUAUUUAUCAAGCUGAUAUUCAAGCCUUGCAUCAGACAUUGCACAUGACAAAAGCAUACGCAAUUUCUAAUGCUAAUGUCAAUGAUUGCAAAUUGGAUUACAAAAAUAUGGAGAUCUCCAAUGGGUCAUAACUGAAAAAACUAAAAUUAAAGAGCUCCAAGAAAAUUAUGAUGAUCUGUUGAUGUCUACUUACAACUUUGUGCCUGAAAAACCGUGUUUUUGCAAAUGUCAAUUGUAUAUAAGAAAAUAUAAAAACUGUACGCGUUUGCAGCAGCAGAAAAUAAUUCUGCUACAGCAAAACUGAACAGGCAGAAUAUAAAAUAUUUGCAGAAAAAUAAAUAACUUGACACAAGAGAUUUAUACGUGGUAUCAGUGUUCUCCCGAACACUCCUAGUCCACGGGGCCACGCCCAGAGAAUGAAAUCAAUUAAUAAAGUAUCAAAAUUACAAAGACAAUUGACUUAAACAAGUUUAGACUCCCUCUAAAGUAUUGCCGCAAUCCUUUGUAAUCCACUUUAUGAAUCUGACUUCUUGAAACACCUUCAAGCCCGAACUCCCUUCGUCUUUGAAGUGUGAGUGCUUACUUCCUCCCGAAGUAAGGCUUCAACAAGUCUUCUCCCGAAGACCAAGUGCUUACUUCCUCCCGAAGUAAGGCUUCAACAAGUCUUCUCCCGAAGACCAAGUGCUUACUUCCUCCCGAAGUAAGGCUUCAACAAGUCUUCUCCCGAAGACCAAUCUCUUGUUCAGUCAAGUAGUUCUUCACAACCUCUAGGAUAGAGUAAGAACAGAAAUAGAACAACUAGAACCUAGAUGAACAACUAGGCUCUCACAAAACAAAGAAAGACUCUCUUCUCUCAAAAGAUAAAUGUAGAAAAUGAAUAAUGGAAGAGGUAAUUCGAAUGGUUGCUCUCUAGGCUCUAUUUAUAGAUCAUAGAAACCAAAGAGGCAACCACAAGUUCGAAUUAGCAGUUGUACAAAAACUUUCCAAAAGAAACACGAUCUGCUACAUCAGAUUCGGAUGCUGACGAAGCAGAUCUGCCCAUAAACGAGAAACUUACUAAAAUCGGGUCCGAUCUUCUUUCAAUGCUUGAUUCCUGCCAAAAAUAGAUUAGAUAUUCUGAUUGUAUCAAGAUACAAUCGAAAUCAAUAAGGAAAAGGCAAUAAACAAAGUUUCCCUAAAAAGGACAACUUUCCAAAAGAGAAUUUCUUCUCUUUUGAGAAGUUUUCAACAAAGGAAAGUUCAGCUGAAAGUGCAACUUUCCAAACAAGGAAAAUGACAACUACAAUCCGAAUUUAUAAGGCAAGAAAUCGAAUAUGAAUGCACAACAAUCUUACCAUAAAUGGAAAAAUUAUUUUGUCAACUAACUUGCCAAAAUAGGACUUUACAAUCUCCCCCUUUGGCACUUUAGAUGAACAAAAUAAUUUUUAACACAAAGUACCAGCAAGAUAAAGUUAGCAAGACAAAUGACUACUCCCCCUGAGUAACACAAUCGAAAACCAACAAUAACCAAAGAACCAUGCUAACUUUUAAACCAAAUAGUUCACAAGUACUCAACACAAC